CAUGGAUUUACUCUAGAUGGAUCGGUAAGAGUCCAUGUCUUUCCUGUGCUGAGGCCUCCAGAGGUGUAUGCAGUAUUCCAGGUGCAGUCUAGACAGAGCAGAGGGGCAGAAUUGCCUCUCUCGACCUCCUGGCCAUACUUCUUUUUGAUGCAGCCCUGGACAUCAUUGGAUUUCUGGCCUGCAAGCACACACUGGCAGCUCAUGUUGAGCUUCUCAUCUGCUGCCAACCUCAGGUCCUUUUCCCCAGGGCUGCUCUCUAUUCAUUCUCUCCCCAGCCUAGGAUUGCACUGACCCAGAUGCAGGACCUUGCCUUUGGCUUUGUUGAACUUCAUGAGUUUGGCAUUGGCCCACCUCUCAAGCCUGUCAAGGUCCCUCUGGAUGGCAUCCCUUCCCUCUAGCAUGUCAACCACUCCAUGCAGACAUCACAAAUAUGAUGAACAGAGGCUUAGCAACUGCAUCUGCCAGCUCCUUCAGGACCUGUGGAUGGAUCUCAUCAGGUUCCAUAGUCUUCAGGUUCUUUAGAUGGUCUUCUACAGCAGGGGAUACUUCAUUCUCCCAGUCCCUGCUUUCACCUGCUGGGACCUUUGAAAUGAGGCUGGAGCACUUGCCAGUGAAGACAGAUGCAAAGAAGUAAUUGAGAACCUCAGCCUUCUCAAUAUUCUUUCUUGCACCCAGAAGUUCUGUGAAGCUGGAUGGGAAACUCCAAAUAUCUAGUCAUAACCAUAGAUGAGAUUUCUGACUGUGGAUACUGUGACUCUGCUGGACUUAGCCUGUGAAGAUACUUGUGCAGUUAGUUCCCCGUUGAACUUGGGUACAUUGAGGAAAGAGUUCCAAUGCAUUGCCAUAAAUUGGCAACCAGGUCUUUGUUCUGAUGACUCAAACUCUUGUAACUCAAAUAUGCUUAUUUAAAAUAGUAUGUGAGAUUUGGGAUAAACAGAUCAGUAGUUUUAUAAUUCUGAAGCAUGCAGUGAUCUUGAGACAUCCUUUAUAAGGAAAGGCUGGAAAUUUGUUACUGAUUUUUUUCACUGGGAGUCAGUGAAGAGGGUUAUGAAGUCUCACCAAGCAAUAGUGACAAGAGUUUGCCUUUUCCAAGCAAGGAAGUUAAUAUCAUCAAUUGUAUGAUGAUAUAUAAAUGAUUGAAUAGUAAUCAUAACUGUAAGUAAUCCCAAUUGUUUGAAAAUGUUUUGUGUUGAGGAGAACACUUCCAUAAGUUCUCGCUAUCAGCAUGUCAAGAAAGAUUUGCCGAAAUGGUAUGUGGAGACUUUUGUUUUCUGAAUAAGCAGACGGGAAGACUGUCAUCUUGCCAGAACAUGAAAUGAAAGGGGGAAGAAAGAAAAGUUAUAUUAAUUUUUUUACCCUGGUUUUUCUCCAUUAGCAGAUUUCAGAUUCCUUUCAGCUUUUACAAUGGAGUGGGUGGAAUAGACAAGUAUUUUUGUAUUGUGUUUUUUUUGAUUGAAGUUAGUAAUGCUGUAGGACAGGAUCUCAAUGAAUAUUUUUAAAAAGUUUUUUCUUUUCUUCCAGUCUAGGCAAUCCAUAUUUUAAAUAAAAUUUAACUUAUGCUA